rnacentral:lncRNA from 1 species
ACUAUAUGAUAAUUGCGUUUCUCCUUAAGUUUGAUUCGCAGCACACUUGUGAACAUAAAGAUGGUCUUCAUGGUGUCAUUCACAUAUGCGAAAAUGGGGACAAAAUGAAAAGGUUGUAAUAUGACACCACUUUAUUAUAGAUCGCUAUGCAGCCUUUAAAAUGUAUGUCUUUUUAAAAAAAGCAACACCAUAGGAAAAUUAAAAUCAAAAUUCUUAUAGCAUAAAAAGCAUAAUGUAGUUGUGAUAAAAUUUAUGCAUAAAAAUAAAAUGUAUGCAUAAUGGGAUUGAAGGGAUGCUUGGAGGUUAAAAGCACUUGCUACUUUUGCAGAUGAUGCUGGGACACUCAGAACCACCUAUGGCUCUAGUUCUAGAAGACCCAAUGCCCUCUUCUGGCCUCCAUAGGCACGCGCACACAUGUGAUAUACAUAGAGACAAGCGCAAGCUCGUGUGUACACACACAAAUAAUAAAUGUAAACAAAUUGUAAUAUAUGUGUAUAUGUACAUAGUUACCAAAAGGACUGGAUUCUAUCAGAAUAAAAACUGUGGAGCAAGGUGCACUUGUAAUUACAAAAUCCACGAGGCAAAAGUAAAAAAGAGUUCUGCAAGUUCAAGGUCAGCCUGGGUUACUUAGAAUUUCCUAGGACAGCCUGAGCUAUAAAGUACAGCCCUUUCUCAAAAAAAAAAAAAAAAAA